UGGGGAAUUGUUCGCAAUGGGCGCAAGCCUGACGACGCAACGCCGCGUGGAGGAUGAAGAUCUUCGGGUCGUAAACUCCUUUCGAUCGAGACGAAUUCCCCUGGGGUUAAUACUCCCGGGGGUUGACGGUACCGAGAGAAGAAGCCCCGGCUAACUCCGUGCCAGCAGCCGCGGUAAUACGGGGGGGGCAAGCGUUGUUCGGAAUUACUGGGCGUAAAGGGCUCGUAGGCGGCCAACUAAGUCAGACGUGAAAUCCCUCGGCUUAACCGGGGAACUGCGUCUGAUACUGGAUGGCUUGAGUUUGGGAGAGGGAUGCGGAAUUCCAGGUGUAGCGGUGAAAUGCGUAGAUAUCUGGAGGAACACCGGUGGCGAAGGCGGCAUCCUGGACCAACACUGACGCUGAGGAGCGAAAGCCAGGGGAGCAAACGG
rnacentral:rRNA from 1 species